UUCUUUGUUUGUUAAAAUUCUCAAUGCUUUCUUUUUCCUACAACCCUCUCAAUACUUUCUUUCAAAACUUCACAACUGUCGUAGAUGACCAAGUACAGCGGCUGUGGUGGUUCGAUCAUGUUCAUCACUAACAAUUUACGAGAUUACCGGUGGGGCGGUAAUCCGUUAUGGCGGACAAGGGGAUGGUGAGACGAUUCACAACGCCGACGGGCGGCGAUUAGGGCCCUACAAGUAGAAUAUGGCUGCUAACAAGUCAAAUGGAGUAGUUGACCUCCGCCGAUAUACAAGGUUGCUCAGAUCAGUAGAAUCAAAGGUUAAUCGGCAAACAACUUCCUGACAAUCAGGAUUCUGUGCGCCGUUAGCUGAGGCGGUGGUGGUGCACGUGUCAGCGGUGUAUAUGGUGGCGGUGGUGAACAUGGUUGUUGUUUUCUUCUACCUGGUAAAAUUUAAGAUUUUGUUCUUUGUAAUCCCGCUUACUCUUUUUGUUGUUUAGUUACACACUUUUUAAUCUAAAAUUUUACAUAAAAUCUUUAUAAAUUAGAAUUGAUUUUUUGUUUUGUUUUUGGUGCUCAGUGAAAUGCAGGGUGCUUCAUGGGUUGAAUAGAGAACUUUGCAAUGAUAUUAGUAGCAAGCUUAUAAGAUUUAUGCAUAAGUAGACAUAAAAUACUAAACUUUUGUGUUAAAUGCUCUUCUAUUUAUCUUAUAGUUAUGUUGCAGAAUAGGAUAAUCCAGUUGGGACAGGAUACAGUUUUGUGGAGGAUGAAGAGUUAUUGGUGAAAAUAGAUGAAGAAGCUGCUAGGGACUUAACUACAUUGUUGAUUAAAUUAUUUAACAGAUAUGUCGUACUGCAGGUUUAGUACGUCCUAUGACAAAUACUCACAUCAUCACAUGACCAGAGAGAUCUGGGACAACGUCGACACCAACGAUUAGUUUCAAGAAAGGGAAAAUUAAAGGAGAAGCAGAAGAUAGAUUUUUUUAUCUGAACCCAAAUAAAGAUAAAGUGAAGCGGAAGAACUGAAUCGGCGAUGCAGAGAUAUGCAGGUAAUGCAUUCUGAACUAUUUUCCGUAGUUUUUUUGGGGGUCUUAACUCUUCGCUUAGGGUUUUUUUUCUUGCAUCUUUGGAUGAUUAAAUUUGUUUUGGAGUUUGUGAUAUUAGGGCAUUGAGAUGAAUGAUUACUUGAUGUUGCAUUACUUAGUUUUUACUUAGUUAUGGUGGUGGUCUGGGUUAAUCGGUUGUUCGUGGGUUAGUUUGCGGGUCACACCGGUCACGACUCAUUAGAGCUAACGGGUCAAGUAAAAUUGGAAGUGAGUUUAAAGUAUUUACUUGCAUACUCACAUGAGGAAAAUAAAGAGUUUCCAGGGUACAUGUGAUUGUAUACAUGGUUAUCGUUGGAAGUAUUUAUGUUUUUAUAUGUUAUCUCUUAGUUAACAGUUUAUUAGUUAGAAAUAGUAUUAUAGUUUGACCAAAUAUAAUGGAGAUAGAAUAUGCCAAUAUGGGUCAGUAUGUUUGACCGAGUAAUAAUCCAUUGUGAACUCUUCUAACAAGUAAGUGAUUAUCAAGUUAAACUGAUGCGUACGAGAUUGACUCUAGACAUGUUUUUGUGCUUGCUACAUGCUUUUGUUCUUUGUAUUUUCCUAUGGGUUAAAGAUUUGGUUUGAUUUGGGUUGUAUGCUAAUUUAGGUUGCUAGAUUUUCGAUCCGUUUGGUUUUAUUCUGCCUUUAGGAAAACUUUUUUUUAUGUUAUAUUUAGCUUAGUCUGGGUAUUGUUGAAAUUGGCAUUGCCCCUAUAUAAAUAAUAUCUUCAACAUUUAAAGGACCUAAGACUUUCGAUUCACAGUCAUUAACCUUUGAGGAAAGAAAGGUCAACCCGCUCCACCUCCAGGUACACAUGCAUAAAGGCCAGACCAAAAAACAAUUAGCCAAUUACAAAUCUCCUCGGGUACGUGUUAAACAUUUAUAUGAAUGAUACAUUUUGACCAAUACAAUACGAUACAUUUUGACCAAUACAAUACAUUUUGACUAAUACAAUACGAUACAUUUUGACCAAUACAAUACAUUUUGACUAACAACAAGCACUCCUCUGUUUUUCCAGAUGCAAGUGAUGACCUGUCAACAAAAGGAAAACUUUUUUCAUGAAAGAAUUUCACACGCCUAUGUUUGUAUUGUAAGUCGUAGGAUAACGGAUGUAAGUGGUUUACAAAAUGGUGUUAUAGUUCAUUUUGAACCCAGUUUUCUACACAUUGUUCAUGAUACAUGAAACAACACCAAAAAUCAAUUAAACUUUAAAAUUGCAACUCCCUAUCCCAGUUUUUCAAAGAUGGAAGACAUUUUGACUUGGAAUAAUACGUUUUGAUUCGAGGGUAUUUAAUUCGAGUUACUUUGUGUUUUAGCCAGCCGCAAUGACGGAGGGACUGGUACGUUUUCUUUACCUUUUAUUUGGUUCAACUUUCGAUAUAAAUUUUGCUCAAGAACCACAUAUCUACGUUUCGAGUUAGUAUAGUUUUUAACAUAGAUUUUUUUGGGCUAAAAUAGAAUAUAAAUAAUUGGACGGUAUAAAUUCCAGUUACUCUAUUUCGACGUAAAUUUAGUUCGGAAAGAGUUAGGUACGCCGCCGCAACGCGCGGCGGGUACAAAUACUAGUUGAGGCUUGAAAAGGAUGGCCAGCCAAAAGAAUAAUAAAUAGCUUUUCUUUCAAUAUUGCCUAAUUUUUUUAUAUAACUGUUAAAUUAUUUAUUAAAACUUAAACGUGAGGAGGCAUAUAUUCGACACUUGCCCGAAAACGAAAAAGCACGAGAUUUGCGAAAUGUGGGGUUGGGAGAUGACACCCAUUUAAUUUAAGUUUUUUUCCAAUGUUUAGUUGUUUUUUAUUUUGCUAUGUAAUAUAUUUUUUAAUUUUAAUGAAAUUUAAUUUAGUGUUUUAUUGUUAAUUUCUAAUUU
rnacentral:lncRNA from 1 species